rnacentral:ncRNA from 2 species
AAAAAUCUUCGGGGUUGGGUGAGAUUCCCUACUGGCGGUAUAGCCCGCUAGCUUUAAAAAGCAGAUUCGGUUAGAUUCCGAAGCCUACAGUUAUAGUCUGGAUGAUAGAAGAUAGUU